GAUGAACGCUGGCGGCGUGCCUAACACAUGCAAGUCGGGCGAGAAACUUUGGAUUGAUCCUUCGGGUGAAAGAAAAAGUGGACAGCGGCGGACGGGUGAGUAACGCGUGGGAAACCUGCCCUAUACAAGGGGAUAGCCUCGGGAAACCGGGAUUAAUACCCUAUAAAACUCUAGCACCGCAUGGUGCAUGAGUCAAAACUCCGGUGGUAUAGGAUGGUCCCGCGUCCCAUUAGCUAGUUGGUGAGGUAAAAGCUCACCAAGGCGACGAUGGGUAGCCGGCUCAGAGGGUGAACGGCCACACUGGAACUGAGACACGGUCCAGACUCCUACGGGAGGCAGCAGUGGGGAAUAUUGCACCAUGGGGGGAACCCUGAUGCAGCGACGCCGCAUGAGUAAUGAAGGCUUUCGGGUCGUAAAGCUCUGUCCUAAGGGAAGAUAAUGACGGUACCUUAGGAGGAAGCCCCGGCUAACUACGUGCCAGCAGCCGCGGUAAGAC
rnacentral:rRNA from 1 species